UACAGAGGUCUCAAGCGUUGUUCGGAUUCAUUGGGCGUAAAGAGCGCGCAGGCGGUCGUGCAAGUCGCGUGUGAAAGCCCCCGGCUCAACUGGGGAGGGUCACGCGAUACUGCUCGACUCGAAGGCAGGAGAGGGAAGUGGAAUUCCCGGUGUAGUGGUGAAAUGCGUAGAUAUCGGGAGGAACACCAGUGGCGAAGGCGACUUCCUGGCCUGUUCUUGACGCUGAGGCGCGAAAGCUAGGGUAGCAAACGGG
rnacentral:rRNA from 1 species